rnacentral:rRNA from 1 species
UAAUACGGAGGAUGCGAGCGUUAUCCGGAUUUAUUGGGUUUAAAGGGUGCGUAGGCGGGACAUCAAGUCAGCGGUGAAAGUUCGUGGCUCAACCACGAAAUUGCCGUUGAAACUGUUGUUCUUGAGUGUAGAUGAGGUAGGCGGAAUUCGUAGUGUAGCGGUGAAAUGCUUAGAUAUUACGAAGAACUCCAAUUGCGUAGGCAGCUUACUAGGCUACAACUGACGCUGAGGCACGAAGGUGCGGGUAUCAAACAGG